UACAGAGGGGGCUAGCGUCGUUCGGAAUUACUGGGCGUAAAGCGUGCGUAGACGGUUAUUUAAGUCGGGUGUGAAAGCCCCGGGCUCAACCUGGGAAUUGCAUUCGAGACUGAAUAGCUAGGGUACGGUAGAGGGAAGCGGAAUUUCCGGUGUAGCGGUGAAAUGCGUAGAUAUCGGAAGGAACAUCAGUGGCGAAAGCGGCUUCCUGGACCAGUACCGACGUUCAGGCACGAAAGCGUGGGGAGCAAACGGG
rnacentral:rRNA from 1 species